GAGGGUAGAGCUCAGUGGUAAGAGUGUGUGCUUAGCAUGCAGGAGGUCCUGGGUUCAAUCCCCAGUGCCUCCA
rnacentral:tRNA from 1 species